UCAAAAAUAUUAUAGAUUUGGUUUUAGUAUAAAUAGUUUACAACUAUUCGGAUAGAUUUUUAAUUACUAUUUUUGAU
rnacentral:tRNA from 1 species